AGAGUUUGAUCAUGGCUCAGGAUGAACGCUAGCUACAGGCUUAACGCAUGCAAGUCGAGGGGCAGCAUAAUCGAAGCUUGCUUUGAUUGAUGGCGACCGGCGCACGGGUGAGUAACGCGUAUCCAACCUUCCCCUUAGUAGGGCAUAGCCCGGCGAAAGUCGGAUUAAUACCCUAUGUUGUCCUAUGAGGACAUCUGAGCAGGACUAAAGGUUUACCGCUAAGGGAUGGGGAUGCGUCUGAUUAGCUUGUUGGCGGGGUAACGGCCCACCAAGGCAACGAUCAGUAGGGGUUCUGAGAGGAAGGUCCCCCACAUUGGUACUGAGCCAGGAUCAAACUC
rnacentral:rRNA from 1 species